UUGACAGAAGAUAGAGAGCACAGAUGAUGAUAUGCAAUUCAUUAAUGGAUCAGAUCAACUCUCUGCAUCUCACUCCUUUGUGCUCUCUAUGCUUCUGUCAUCA
rnacentral:pre_miRNA from 1 species